GCUGUUUGUAACUCUCAGAAGUAGGACAUAAAUAACACUAUACUAUACAAGACAAGAUAAUACAGACUAUACAAGACAAUGCAGAUGUGAUACAAUAGACAGUAUGAGUAUUAAAUAUGAAUUCAGUAACUGUCAUCCUGUUCAUUGGAAUCCAGGGCCAAUCCAGACACAAGCUAAAGGCACUCAUUUAUUUCUGCUGACAGGAGAACGGGAGUGUUAAUGGCUACAGACAGCAUCGAUUAAAAAUGCAAAGCCCACCUGGAGUGCAGGGACACACGAGAGUCCAAGGAGCCUAGGAAGAACAAGCUAAUGAGCAGGGCAAGACUGUUUCCAUUCUAAUCGGGGAAAAGUCCAAUUCACAAAUCCAUAAAGCAAACAAAACAUUUCA